AGCGAACGCUGGCGGCAGGCCUAACACAUGCAAGUCGAACGAACCUUUCGGGGUUAGUGGCGGACGGGUGAGUAACACGUGGGAACGUGCCUUUAGGUUCGGAAUAACUCAGGGAAACUUGUCCUCAUACCGCAUGUGCCCUUCGGGGGAAAGAUUUGUCGCCUUUAGAGCGGCCCGCGUCUGAUUAGCUAGUUGGUUGAGGUAAUGGCUCACCAAGGCGACGAUCAGUAGCUGGUCUGAGAGGAGGAUAAGCCACAUUGGGACUGAGACACGGCCCAAACUCGGACGGGAGGGAGCAGUGGGGAAUCUUGCGCAAUGGGCGAAAGCCUGACGCAGCCAUGCCGCGUGAAUGAUGAAGGUCUUAGGAUUGUAAAAUUCUUUCACCGGGGACGAUAAUGACGGUACCCGGAGAAGAAGCCCCGGCUAACUUCGUG
rnacentral:rRNA from 1 species